rnacentral:miRNA from 1 species
AAACAAACGAAAAUAUUCAUAUAUCCACAGGCUGCAACACGCAAUGUUGACACAUUAUUUUGAAGUCGACUAAGACUUCAAAAUAAUGUGUCAACAUUGCGUGUUGCAGCCUGUGGAUAUGAAUAUUUUC